rnacentral:rRNA from 1 species
GCCAGCGGCUGUAUCACCCUGCAACUCCCAAAUGACAUCCCACUAAUGCCCAGCAGGUGUGAGCCUGGUCAGUACUGGGAUGGGAGACCUCCUUGGAAAGCUAAGACUGCUGCUGGAA